UCUACCAUAACAUGCGGGCGUAGUUUGAAGGCUAUCGGCAACCACAUGUAUUGUGUUAUUGGAGCUACCUAGCAUCGCGUUUGUUCGGCGUCACAACUUUCUUGCCUCCUCCACACUCCUGCGCUGCUCUGUCGUCUCGAUAAAGAAAAGAGACAGCGACAGAUUGACCAGCAACCCACCAGUCAGUGGUACCGUACGUCGGAGAACCAGUUUAUCCUGAGAAUAUCUUCCACUCCAAAUGCUUCGGCAGAGGCAGAAGUGAGCUGUUGCCCAGACCUUGACCUUCCAGCUGCUAGAGCGAACAUGGGUGGCGUCAGGUUGUGCUGCAUAUCAGAAAGACUUUACACUCAGCCUCUUCAUUCCUGAACUGAGGUCAACCCGCAAAGCCUUUGAUUUUUUUUUCAUUCAUCUCACCUUCUGAGUAACACAACAAGGGAUGACAACUUUGGGGAGAUGUGAGAUAACGACGCGCUGAUUGGCUGAGAGAGCCUGCAUGGAUGCACUGAUUGGCUGAGAGAGCGUGCAUGGAUGUGCUGAUUGGCUGAGAGAGCCUGCAUGCUGCUAGCUAGCAAGAGUGGACGGACCGCAGCAGUGUGAAACACCAGUCGCACCCGGCACUUUGCAAGCUGUUUGUUUUCUGUUUGCCUCCAGUAGAAGACCGAAUCUAACAAAAUGGCAUGCUCAAAGUUGACCAAGAGAAGAAAACUGGACAAUGAAAAUCUGUUUCAAUGAGGAAUGGAAUGACGAAUAUGCGUCCAUUUUACCAACUGCAAGUACCAAACCUAUGUGCUUAAUAUACUUCAAGAUAGUUGCUCUGAUAAAAAAUGAAAAUUUGAAACACCAUUAUGUUAAAGAGCACAGCUCUUUUGAAGAGAAGUUUCCUCCUAAAUCAGAAUUAAGAAGGCAAGAAAUUAACAGGUUGAAACAGUCAUAUCAGGAGUCAAGGAAGGUUAUUGUUAAAUCUAUGACACAACAACAAAUUGCAACGGAGUGCUCACACAGAGUGUCGUAGGUGUUGGCCAAACAUAAGCCGUUCUCUGAUGGAGAAAUAAUAAAAGAGUGUAUGACUGAAGUGAUUGCAGCAAUGUUCGAAGGAAAAGAAAAGGAGGAAGUGACAACAAAAAUCAAACAAAUCUCACUCUCAGAUUCAUCAACCACAAGACGCACUGAAGGCUGUUAUUGCAGGUGCCUAGAUGGUACAGCGCCAGCCAAUUAUUUGUCAGUAAUGGGUUACCCACCUUUAAAGCGCUACUAAGAAAUCUGAUGUAUAAGUUCAUGUGUCGGUUAAAUAAGUCCGAAAAUAGUAUUUUAAUGAAAAUAACGGAUCCUAAAAAUAGUUAUAGAUGUAGGUCAAGCAUGUGGCACCAUUGGAGUAAAAGCCUGUUUGUUGUGCAGAUAGUUUGUGCCUUUUUCAUGUUUUUGCUUUUUCAGUUUCUGUUUCUGUGUUUCUUAUGUCAUUUUUUAUGUUGAUUUGUGUGAUAUGGACACCCCGUGUGACUCCUGAAUAAAGAUCAUAUAUAUAUAUAUAUAUAUAUAUACUGGCUGAUGAUGUGAGUAAACAGCUUUGUGACCCCUAAAUGCCAUUUCUCUCAUUGAGCAGUGUUUUAGAGUUAAAGUUACUGUCAAUAAAUAUUAUGUUUGCACCUUAAUGACAUGGCUUGUCAUUUAUGCUCUGUACAUUUGCACAUGUACUGUACUACUUGCACAUUUUCUUUUUUGUCCAGCAGGGUUCUACAGUUACAAAAUGUACUGUCAAUAGUUAUUGUUUGCACCUCAGUGACAGAUCUUGUCAAUUAUUUAGUGUACAUGUGUAAACUUUGUAUUUGCAUUGUUUUUUUUUUUUUUUUUUGGUGGUAUUUUUAUUUUAAGUCAAGUUUCUGUUUCGUUAAUUAUUUUUCAUUGAAUCAGAAUAUGCACUGUAUUUUUGUUUGGUCAAAAAGAAAACCCCCUUUUUACCACCUUGGACCUGCCUUGUACUUGACCGACAUUAAUAAAUGGAUCCAUGCUUGUAUGAAAAAAAUAAUUGGA